GGCCUCGUAGCUCAGUUGGUAGAGCAUUGGACUAGUAUCCCAAAGGUCGCGGGUUCGAUUCCCACCGUGGUCA
rnacentral:tRNA from 1 species